ensembl:lncRNA
GAUUAAAGUGCGGUUACAUUGUGAAACUGUAAUGAGUUGUACUUUUGAAAAGGCAGACUUCCUAGUGGGAAUCACCAUGGAGGUCCAGAAGAAAAUGGAGCUGAUAACCUGAGCACAACCAGUGGCUCCAUCACCAGAAGUGCUCAAGGUUGUCUAUUACCACAACUCUUCGAAUCAUUCUCUCAGCAAGCAUUGAUUAUAUACCUCUUAUUGCCCUGGCACUGUGUAAAAAAAACCAAAAAAAGACAAAGAAGACAUGGUUCCUCUCCUUAAAGAGCUCACAAGUCUAGUAGAAGGAGAUAUGCAAUCAAAUAAAUACAAGAUGUGCAUUGCAAGUGCUCAGGACACUGCCAGGGCCAGUGGGGAGAGUGGAGGGACAAGUGGCUUUCUUAGGGAGGGAGGUAUCAAGAAAGGCUUCCAAAAAGAGGUGGCAAUUGAGUUAACUUUGAAAAAGGAACAAGGAAACCCAGGUAGAGAGGGAGUGAGAAGGGCGUUCUCGGCGGAUGGAGCUGCUCGGAGCAAGAGCUUUAUGUGGGGAAGGCCUGCAUAUUUCAGAAGGGUCUAGUGGGAGGAGGUGGGGGUUGUCCAGGCUAUGAUAAGGCUGAACCCCAAGUGCACUGCAAUAGCAUCUGUGUAUUUAUAUAGACUCUAAAGAAUGUCAUUCCUAAUGACAGAAAUGGAGUGGCAGAUGAAAUAAUAAUGCAAGGGGGAGGAGAGUAAACGGAGUUAUGCUAUUUCAGGACCUCCAGCAGCUCCGUUUUGGAAAACCAUUAAGAUAAUUUUACACAAUUUCUAACCUGAACAGAGAUCAGCAUAAGUAUAUAGAAUGUGCAGGUGAACAGCCGUCGUUUUUAAAAGAAUGAAUUGUUUUACUAUUAUUACUAUUAUGUUUACUACUGUUACUAUAGUAUAUUUACCAUUAUUCACUGUUACUAGUAGCAUAACUGUCAUGCUAAUGUUGCUUCACUAAUUUGAUUUACUAAUGUCCUACUACACUUAUUACUUCAUGGACUACUUCCUAUUCGCAGGACACAUUUUGUAUUUGCUGUAUCUAAAUUUGUUCCUGUUAUUUUCUCUUCCAGGAAUGCCUUCCCAUCACACUUUUAAAAAAAGUAUAGGGGGCUGGCUCUGUGGCUGAGCGGUUAAGCUCGAGUGCUCUGCUGAGGCAGCCCAGGGUUCGGAUCCUGGGCACAGACAUGGCACUGCUCGUCAGGCCACGUUGAGGCAGCGUCCCACAUCCCACAACUGGAAGGACCUGCAACUAGGAUAUACAACUAUGUACUCGGGGAGUUUGGGAAAUAAAGCAGAAAAAAAAAAAGAUUGGCAACAGUUGUAAGCCCAGGCCAUUCUUUCUGGGACAGCUAUUUGUUGAAGGAUAAUGGAAAAAAGGACUGAAGGGAUGAACUGGGAGAGCAAGUAGAGCUCUGCCAACAGGAGGCGCUCGGGGAUACAGGAAAGCUGGCGGAGGGAGAAGGGGCUUGCUGCUUCCUGUUUGCUUCCUGUUUCUGCCAGCAUCACCUCAGCAAUGGUUCUUCCUCCUGACAGCGGCUGUUGGAUUCCAGUUCUCGGGAUUGCUCGCCUUCCCUCCUACCCAGGGCAGUCUUCCAGACCUGGCCUAUAGUGUCCCCUCAGAGAUACCAGCACCUAGCCAGCACCCCGUCCUCAGAGGUCCAGGUCCAGCUCCAAGAGGCCCUCCUCUGAGUUCCUGAGGCAUCAGCACCAGUCAAGUCAACCCCCUCCUCCAGGUCUGGAUCCCAGCUCUGCCUGGCCCUUCCUCUAAGCUUCCAGGGCAGCAGCACCAGCUUCUAGGUUCUAAUAACCCACCCUUCCCUUUGCUGCCACCACCACAGGAGUGCUAACUGUUUCUUGCAGUUCCUGUCUUGGUGUUAUCUCAGUGUUACUCUUUUGCCUUUUCAGUUUCUUAGAUACCAAUUCCUAUAAUAUGUUCUCUCAGUCAAAAAAGGCUGGUCCAGCUUCUGUUUUCUUGACUGGACCCUGACUGAUACCAGCAGACUCCCAGGAAACAGACUCGAGGUGGGAUUUUGAGAUGAGGCUUGAUCUCGCCUUUGGCCUUGAACACAGCACUGACCCCUAGUGCCACCACAAUUAAUCAGGUUAUCACUAGUUGAUGGCAGUGAAAUACCUACUGCAGCAAGUACCUUUGGAGACCCAGCGGCUGCUGUGUUUCACCACUGUGACUGACUACAAGGAUGUGGCUAUUUCUGAGCGUGCUGGAGCGCUUACAGGAAGAAAAUGACCAGAUCAAGUUGUGGUCAGAGAACCAGAGAACCUCAAAGCCAGUUCUAAAAGAACCUCUUGAUUCUUAUAGCUGCUCUGCAGGAUGCACCAUUACAGUGUGAGUUGAAUUCACAGCCUUCCCAAGUCUCUAUGUAGAAUUAGGAUGUUGAUUGGGAAGGAGAGAGACCCUGAGAUUUGGAAUGAGGACAUCGAAACAUAACAGAAAAUCGGGUGCUCCCUAGUCCAAGCUCUGCUUUCUAGUAACUCCAGCCCUCGGGGAGAACUACUUCCUGGGCCACAAGUUGGGGGGUCGUCUUUUGCUUUUUAACUUCUCUAACCUGUUUAAUAAAUCCCUAACAUUAAAGCCUCUUUGGUAAAACAAAC